rfam:Felis catus isolate Cinnamon breed Abyssinian chromosome A1, whole genome shotgun sequence.
GCCUGGGUGGCUCAGUUGGUUCAGCGUCUGACUUCGGUUCAGGUCAUAAUCUCACAGCUCGUGAGUUCGAGCCCCACGUCGGGCU